rnacentral:rRNA from 1 species
GACGAACGCUGGCGGCGUGCUUAACACAUGCAAGUCGAACGGUGAAGCGCCUUCCUUUUUGGUGGGUGUGGAUGAGUGGCGAACGGGUGAGUAACACGUGAGUAACCUGCCCCCUUCUUCUGGAUAACCGCAUGAAAGUGUGGCUAAUACGGGAUAUUCUGGGUCUGUCGCAUGAUGGGUCUGGGAAAGAUAUUGUUUCGGUGGGGGAUGGGCUCGCGGCCUAUCAGCUUGUUGGUGGGGUGAUGGCCUACCAAGGCGGUGACGGGUAGCCGGCCUGAGAGGGUGGACGGUCACACUGGGACUGAGACACGGCCCAGACUCCUACGGGAGGCAGCAGUGGGGAAUAUUGCACAAUGGGCGCAAGCCUGAUGCAGCGACGCCGCGUGAGGGAUGGAGGCCGUCGGGUUGUGAACCUCUUUCGCCAGUGAAGCAGGCCUGCCUCGUUUGUGGGUGGGUUGACGGGAGCUGGAUAAGAAGCGCCGGCUAACUACGU